CUUGAGGAACAAACGUGUGUAUACUUGGUAUUCUUCGUCACCAAAUUCAGUAGGAUCAUGUCUUGCAUGCUCAUAGAGAUCACAGAACUGGUGAAUUAAACGCUGGCCACUUCCAUUUAACGGUGUGGCAAGUGUGAAGCCAGAGCUCUCAAUCUGACAUGACAAUAAAGCAGCUUACCUAAACUUUUUACAUCGUCAACUGCUUUCAGUCUGUAAUAAUGUGGUGGAGCUUGACCUCCUGAAGUCAGAAUAUAUCUAGGAUCACUGAUGAGUUGUGGUUCGUACUGGAUUCUAGGAAUAUGAGGACCUCGACGGGAUCUCAGGGCGAACCUCAUGAUUUGACGUUUUGCGAAAAUGAAUAGUAAUAAUAUCGUCAAAACGCCUGCUGCUAUGAAUAUCACUAUGGUUACACCGGAGAGUUCCUGCGACAUUUUUGUACAACAAUCGACGAGCUUCGCUUCAGUAAAUUGUCAGAAAUGCUUUCUUUUGCUAAGAAAGAAACAUAUGCCGUGUCGAAUUAAUCAUAUAAACUCCACGACACGAACUUGCAAAUAGAAAAAUCUACACCGCACUGAUUAGCGUACAGAGUCGUAUCUCGCGCGCGUCGCCAUGAACCCAAACGAAACACUUUAUCUCAUAGCUAUAUUUAUACAUUAUGCUUUUGAAUUUUUAAGAUAACAGAAAACAAUUCACUUAAACAAUACUACUUUAAUGACUGCAGUUUUGUAUUAUUUGUCGCUACCAAAUUACCAAUACCGAAUUUCAAUAAAUAUACUUUGCAAAAUAUAACUAAAUUUAUAUUAAAAAAUUAAUUUUUUUGAAAAAAUCAGAAGUCAAAAACUUUUAAACCAAUUAUUCAGAAAAUCAUUUUUACUGCAAGAAUAAAUAUUUUAUCUUUUUUUUAGACAAGUGAUUUAACAUAUAUAUAUUUAUAUAUUUUAAAAUUAUAUGAUUUAAAAUUAUAUAUUCCGUAAGAUACUUUCUAUGGCUUUUUUGAAUAAUGUUUCAUUUAUGGCGGCUAUCUCGAGCAUUAAAUUUUUUUGCUCUUCAGAGAGUAUUGUAUUAAUUUUUAAAAACGACAGUAUGAGUUUCCCGAAGUUCUUAUCUUUGGAGUAGCAAAGUGCCUUUUCUGAGAAUAGUUUUAUAACUUUGCUAAUCAUGUCAUGGUCGAGCUUUAUAGAUAAGAAAUUUUGCAAAACAGUUAUAUGCCAUGGCUUCAGUUCCUCGACGAAUGUAAGGAACUCUCUGCAAAGACAUGAAAUAUUUCUUGUUAGAUGUGUUUACUAUUUCUAAAAUGACUCAAAUAGAACAUAGCAAGUUUAUAUAUGCAAUAGUCACUUUUACAAUCAUUAUAGAUAAAUGCUAAUCUCAAAAUUACUAAAACCUGUAGUGUUUUAUAAUAAUCUCAGAAGAGAAUCAAGAGAUGAUUGAAUUAAUAAUAAUAACGCAAUUAUAGAACGUA